rnacentral:lncRNA from 1 species
GGAGGCUGCAACUAAUUUGGUGAAUCCGUCGACUAGGUCACCCCUGAAGUCUCAACAUAUGCACGCAACAGCUCCCCCGUGCUCAUCUGGUCCUCUACUCUCUCAGGAAUUUGAAGUAGUUGCGUCGUCUGGAGCAAAGGACGCAUUAAUGUUGAUUGUUUGCGAGUUUGGAGUCGAGGGUUGCCAUCGGUUGGGUUGAGUCGUGUUGUGUGGCUCUCCUUUUGAUUUUCGACGCCAUUUAGUGUAGUUUUCUUGUAGAGUGAUUGCCUUG